CGUAGGUUGCGAGCGUUGUCCGGAAUCACUGGGCGUAAAGCGCACGCAGGCGGCUUUGGAAGUCCAAGGUGAAAGCCCUCGGCUCAACCGAGGGAGGCCCUUGGAAACUCCGGAGCUCGAAGGCGGGAGAGGCAGAUGGAAUUUCCGGUGUAGCGGUAAAAUGCGUAGAUACCGGAAGGAACACCAGUGGCGGAAGCGAUCUGCUGGCCCGCUCUUGACGCUCAGGUGCGAAAGCUAGGGGAGCGACCGGGAUUAGAUACCCCGUUAGUCCUAGCCGUAAACGAUGGUCACUAGGUGUUGUCGGUAUCGACCCCGGCAGUGCCGUAGCUAACGCAUUAAGUGACCCGCCUGGGGAGUACGACCGCAAGGUUA
rnacentral:rRNA from 1 species